rnacentral:rRNA from 1 species
AACGAAGCGAGCGACCGUUGUCCGGAAUCACUGGGCUUAAAGGGCGCGUAGGCGGGUGAUCAAGUAGGGGGUGAAAUCCUCCAGCUCAACUGGAGAGCUGCCUCGGAUACUGGUUGCCUCGAGGAAGGUAGGGGUGUGUGGAACGUUCAGUGGAGCGGUGAAAUGCAUUGAUAUUGAACGGAACUCCGGUGGCGAAGGCGACACACUGGCCCUUUUCUGACGCUGAGGCGCGAAAGCUAGGGGAGCAAACGGG